AUUUGCUCCUUAUGUAGAACAUUCCCCUCAACAUCAGAAAGCAAUCAAACACACAUCUUUCUCACUUUAAGAAAGUUUUCAUGUGUGCAAAUCAAUUCAAAUGAGCUAUUAAUGUAAUAUUUAAUAGAGCCAUUAAAAUGUGAAUUAUCUUGAAGUGAUUGUAUUACUUUUCCAGUGUUUUCCCAAUACAGUUGCAGCCACAAGGACAAGAUAUGUAUGUGAAGGUAACUAUUGUUCCCAGAAACACAAGCUUUGAUAGAAAGAAUCAUAAAAUAAAACUACACAACAUAUAUCCUUCUAAAAUAACUCCGUAGGAGAACAGGUUCAUUUUUACUUUGAUCUACUGUUAUUAUGAGAAAGUGGAUUGAGGUGACAGUGUGCAGUGCUGAUUCAGACCUAAUUCAGCAGUAUGGAGUAAAGUAAUACACUGCAAAGACAUUGCUUAGUAAUAGUAGAAAAUAGAGUCAAGAAGAAUCUUGAAAAGUGUACAGAUGUAGUCCUUGACACUAUGUUAUGUAGCCUUCUAACAACACCCACAUAGUUUUCCUUCCUUUCUCUGAUCACUUUUAGUGUUAGUAGUCAUAAAUAGGAUUUGAUUAUAUUUCAAAUCGCAUUUCUUAAACUAUUUCAUUGUUUCAAUCUUGUCUUCCCAAAUAAGGUUGAAACCAGCAAGAGUAGCAGUGUGCACACAUGUGUAUGUAUGUGUAGUUUUUUCCCAACCCUAAUCUACAGAGUUUUUACACAUAUUCACACACUCACACCACAUAUGUAUUUCUAAAAAUCACAGUCACAUUUUCGUGAAUUAUAAAAUUUUGACACUGCCUUUUAUUUACUUUUCUCUUCGCUUCUUUAACUUUCUGCCCUUAUACUUGCUAAAACUUGUGUCUUAAUCAGAAUGCCAAGAUCAUGCAUAUCACCAUAACAAAUAAGAAAAUCAAAGCUUACUGAAUUUUCAGUGUAAUUAGGGUAAAAAUACCAUAAUACUCUGUGUUUUUUAUAAAAUAGCCAUUGAGGUCAGCUCACAUAGAAUCAUACCAGAAGUAUCAGUAAGGGGGCAAACUAAUUUAUUGGUGUAGCUCUGUAUUUCAAUGGCUUAAUAGAUACUUUAACAGCCCGUUAUACUACAGAGUGGUAUCAACAUGCAGGGCAUAUGUGCUUGUUUACCUUACACUGAUACAGAAAACUCACAUAUCUUGUGAAUUUAAUCUCUAAAACCAGUAAAAUGAUUUUACGGUGUUGAAAUGACUUGUCAAAAAUUGAAAUUUUGUGUAGAAACUUUUCCCUUGUCUAACAUCAAUUUAUUAGCUGAUAUGUUUUCCCGACUACAUUGUUUUUUAAUACUGAGGGGACCCAUUUUAUCAAUACAGCUUAAAGAUGGUUCCAUAACCAAAUAUCUAUAUUUUUAUCUAAUUGCUGCCCAGAGGCUUCAGUGGUAGACGUGUUAGCAAGGGAACAAAGAACAUUAAAGAUAUGUUCUGGAGGAGAUAAUUAUGUAAGACAGAGGGGAUUUGGGCAAAAAAUAACAACAUGAAACAGAAGUGCCAGUUGAAAUUCAGGAAAAGCGUUAGAUGAAUUCACGAAGAGGAGGAAAUGUCUGCUUCCAGUAGGUAUCCAAGGGAGUUUUAUUGGGGUGAUGAUGUUUGCUGUAAGUAAUAUAAGCCAUGAUGUGGUGAAUCGCAAGUAAAGAAAACUUCAUUUAACAAUAUAGUACAGACGUGGCAAAUCAUGGAGGAAUGAUUAGUUCAAUGACUUUCAGCAACAGAUGCAGAAAAAGAAAUAAGAAAGUAAAACUACAAAGACAAAGAACUGUGAAGGAGGGUAAUAAAUGUUACUCUAAAAUCUUGUGCGUAUUCUGUAGGGAAGUAAAGGUGGUUAGAUAAUGUAAUGGUAUCAAUAGAAUUAUACUUCAGAGACUGUAAUGUAUCAGCAAAUUAUAAGAUCAAUUGGAAAGGGUGACAUUAGGAAAGGACAUAAACUUAGCAAGUUAUGAGUCUAUGUAAGCUAUUGUUGAGUACAGAGGAGGAUCAUAGAGCAAGAUAUUAUGUAAAAUCAUAAUGUGCUGACACCAAUAUUAAUGCAAUAACUAACAUUUAUUAAACCUUUAUUAUGCAUAGGCCCUGGGUUAAGUACACCACAUGGAUUAUUUUAUUUAAUCAUCACUAAACUGUGAUUACUACCUAUAGGUGGUAAUGUUAUGUACAUCAUACAGAUGGGGAAAUGCAGGUUCUUAGAGGUUAAAUAACUUGACCAAGUUCUCAUAUCCAGUAAUAAAAGGAGCCAAGAUUCGAGUCUAAGCUUUCCGACUCCAAACCCAUGUUAUUAACAAUCACAAAUUGUUCUAAGAAAUAAAAGAAGGAAAAAUCAAGGAUGACAGAGAUCUGAGGCAGGGUGACUGGAAAAAGAGCUGUGCCAUUAAUAGAUAUUGGAACAUGGAUGAAAGUAUUUCUUUUCAGGAAGCUUUGGCCUGUGCAGGCCUACUUUCAAACUAACUGAUUUGACCUUCUAUCUAAGAAAUAUACCCAAGCAGUGGACCUGCUGAGAGCAUUGACAGGCAGAGGGAAAGGCCCUCACGUGGGCUGACUGCUGGUAGGGGAGCACAGAAAAUAUGAUUAUAGUUCAUUUUCAUGCCUGCCAAGAGGAAGUGACAUAAUUUCCAUUUACAGAUGAAGACAAGGACUUUUUGAUGCUAGACAGCUUACCCAAAGUUAUUUAGCUAGUGACUGAUAAAGACAAAAUUCUAUUCUGCAUCACCUUCUUGCCAGAGUCCAAUUCCUUUUCAGAAUAUUCGGAUCCAGAUAGUUUAAUAAAUCUGCUAACUGAAUCUUCAAUCACAGUGAACUUUCAAAAGAAUCUUUAAAGGGCACUACUUCAAAAAUAGAAACUUAUUGGCUCAUUGUUAAACUAUAAUUCUUUCAUAAUAAUUAUCUUAAAUAUCAAUAAAUGUCUACAUGAUUUUUUUUUGCUAGGCAACUAUUUCCAAACGCUGUCUUCUUUCAAGACACGACUUUCCACAUCUACAGUUCACUAAAUGUACUCUCAAAUGUCUAUAAUGACCUGCUAAAUUCUGCAAUCCCACAAACUCUUCUCAUAGCUCAUCUUCUUUGACUUCUCUGCUGACCACACCCUCCUUCUUGUCAUGCCUCCUUGGAUUUCAUAGCACUACCCCUUUUCUCUUCACCUCUUUAUCUUUUCAUUCUUAGUGUUCUCAACUCCUACAUCCUUUCCUAACAACUACUCUGAUAUAAUCCUUCCUAUUCAUCUUUUCCUUUUCUACUCUCUUUUCAUGCUGUAACAGCCCACUACACUCUUUUCAUGCUGUAAGAGCCCAUUUACUUCAAUACAUUCUAUCCCAAGAAAUAUAUCUCCAAAUUUUAUCUACUAGCCAAAUGUCUGUUCUAGAUUUCAAGAUGUAGCUUCUUGGGUGUAUUACUCUAACCUGUUGCCUUCUCCUGGGUUCCUAUCUUAAUAGCAUCAAUUGCCUCUCAAUUAUUUUAAAGCCAAUGUCUAUGUGCCUUUCUCCAUGACCUUUUCCAUCUAGUAAGUUGCUAAAUCCUUUCAGUUUGAACUCUCCAAUAUCUUUCACGAUAAGAAAAAUAUAAUAGUGAUAAAGACAGUAUGAACUACCCACAUCAAUACCACAAUUAUUGAGUGUUUAUUUUGAAUUAAAACUGCGCUAAGCAUUUUCCUCAUAGGAUAUCAUUUAAUCCCCACAAUUCCAUUACAGUGAAAACAAUUGAGGUAAGGAAACUGAAGAGACUCAAAGAACACUUGCCCUUGAUCAUAAAAUUGGGAAAAGGCAGAUACACUAUUCAAAAUAAGGUGUAACUAUCUGGUCAUGAAACCCUCUGCUCUGCAGCUGCAUCCUUUCCAUUCCCACUGCUAGUGACUCAGUUUGUCCUUCAUCAUGUCUUCUCUGAACUAAUGCCAGAGCCUCCCUGCCUCUAACUGUGGCCCUUCCCUUUAACUGUUGCAAUACAUCUAUCUUCAUAAAAGCGGGUUAAAACAAUUUUUUUUUCAUCAGAAAUCUUCUUCAAGCCCUAAAAUAAAUGACAAGCUUUGAGUGUAGGUAAGACUUCCUGGGCUGGGUAGCCAAAACAUUUUCCUAGUAACUCAAUUUCUUUACUUAUUCAAAAAACAUUGAAAAAGUUUUUUGUAUGUGUUGUGUGUGUGUGUGUGUGUGUGUGCCAGACCCUAAUCCUUUACCGAUAUUACACAAUUAAUCCUCAAACAAUCCAUGAUGGAAAUGCUUUUUUCCUCCAUUUUACCAAGUAAAGAAUUGAGCACAAGGAAGUCAGGUCAAUUGUCCUAUGGCACAAAGCUAGUAGCUAGUGCCUCUGGGCGUCAAUCAAACCUCUGCAGUCUAGCUCCGGAGCCCAUGCUCUUAGCCCUCAGGCGGGCCACCUCUCCAUCACUUGUCUUAUUGAUUUAAGAGGUUGGCAAGCAUGUAUUUCUUCUCAGAUAGAUUUUAUAUCCAUUAAGGUAUCCAUCUUUACAUCUUCUCCAUCUUGCAAUAUCACAGUAUCUAAUACACAGAGCCUUUCAAAUAAUAAUCUAAGAUAAUUUAUUUUAACAAUUAUUUAUUUAUGGAACAUCAGAGCUGAUUUAGACCCUAGAGACACCUAUUCUUUUGAAGAAAGCAGAACACUUCUGCUUAAGAAAACUUACCCAGUGUGUGGAUGGACCAAUAAUAAAAAGGAAUGUAAAAAUUACAGUAAAAGAGGACAUUAGGCUAGAAAUGAGGAGGGCGGUAGAAUUUAAAUAAGUAGGACAAGGUCACAUUCGUGCUGUGAACUGAAUAACAGAGAGAUGAUCCCAAGAUAAGUACUUUCUAGUCAGAGGGGAGAAAUAAUAAAGGUACUAGACGGGGAAUAAAUAUGACAUUUUAACGUGCCUGAGAAAUAUAGAUGAUCAAUGUGGCUAGACUUUGGUGAAUGAGGAAGAGAGUGAUACAAUAAGAGGCAAAAGCUCCAAAUAGACAAGAUGAGAUUGUUUAAGGCCUUAUAAGCCAUGAAAAGGAGUAUUAAAUUUAAGUUCAAUAAAAAGCGAUUGAAGAAUUUUAAACAGAAGAACAAAAUAAUAUGAUUUCCUUUUUUUUUUUUUUUUUUUUUUUUUUUUUUUAAGACGGAACCUCACUCUGUCUCCCAGGCUGGAGUGCAGUGGCGUGAUCUCGACUCACUGCAAGCUCCGCCUCCCGGGUUCACGCGAUUCUCCUGCCUCAGCCUCCCGCGUAGCUGGGACUACAGGCACCCCCCACCACACCCGGCUAAUUUUGCUUUUGUAUUUUUAGUAGAGAUGGGGUUUCACCGUGAUAACCAGGAUGUUCUCAAUCUCCUGACGUCGUGAUCCACCUGCCUCAGCCUCCCAAAGUGCUGGGAUUACAGGAGU
rnacentral:lncRNA from 1 species